CCUACGUGAUCUGAGUUCAGACCGGAGAAAUCCAGGUCAGUUUCUAUCUAUAAGAAGUCUUUUCUAGUACGAAAGGACCGAAAAGACAUAGCCAAAGCAUCAGCAAGCUAUCCUCACAACUUAUGACCCGUACUCAAUAAAUAACAAGUUCAACACACAGCCUUAGAAAAAGGCA
rnacentral:rRNA from 1 species